UGACCCAGUUUACAAUGAUUUACUUUAUUGUCUCCAUGUACUCAACUCUAGAUGUUUAUGAUGAUGUCUGUUUACUCAUUUAGAUUUUAUAAUCUCACCAUCCUCCUUGCCACCCAUUUCAGGCUCAGUAUAAGCUGUAGAUAGCUGAUAUCGUAGAAGGCUACAGUUGGCUUUACUUCCUUAAAAACUGUAGGUUUGCAGCCUUCGUUCAUUUUUGUCAUUUGGGGGUCCA
rnacentral:lncRNA from 1 species